rnacentral:rRNA from 1 species
GACGAACCGAGCGAGCGUUGUUCGGAAUCACUGGGCUUAAAGGGCGCGUAGGCGGGCGAUCAAGUCAGGGGUGAAAGCCCCCAGCUCAACUGGGGAAGUGCCUCUGAUACUGAUCGUCUCGAGGGGGAUAGGGGCGUGCGGAACUUCCGGUGGAGCGGUGAAAUGCGUAGAUAUCGGAAGGAACACCGGUGGCGAAAGCGGCGCGCUGGAUCCCUUCUGACGCUGAGGCGCGAAAGCCAGGGGAGCAAACGGG